rnacentral:tRNA from 1 species
UAGGAAGUGGUGUAGCGGAAGCACUAAGAGUUUUGAUCUCUUUAGGUGGGGUUCGAAUCCCCUCUUUCUAA